UGGUGAUUACCAACUCAAUUU
rnacentral:piRNA from 1 species